UUCACCAAACAGAUGCUCAGGAUCUUCGAUCUCGUAGAACUCGAAGAGUUCGAUCACUUGGUCGCCAAAGCUUGACCGUCGAUUCCUCGAAGCUCAGAAACGAAUCGCGAUCUAAUCGCACGCGAAGCGAAGAUGAAUAGGCACAAGCAAACAAACAUAUACAUAUACAUAAAAACAUUACACCAUACAAGAUAAGAUGUUAUAAAAGCGAGCAAUAUAAAAUAGAGAGCGCUUCUACGAUUAUGCGAGGAAAAGAACAGCGAUAGUCGAAGUUACAGUCGAGGGGUUAGCGUGUUUACACUAAGCAAGUAUUAGUUAGAAUAUUUAAUCCGAUAUUUCUCAAAUAUAAAUUAUAACUACUAUUUAAUCUCGAUUAGUCUGCUACUCUAAUAGCUUGUCAGUUAAAUAAGCAAAUUAAAUAACAUCAGCGACCCUAAGUGAGACAAAUUCACGGCGCGUAAAAUAGCACUACAUAGUGCAGAACGACGCGUGGACACGAGCGACAUAGCACGCUCACGACACAUGAAGCAGUGCGCACGACUAGCGUGAACGACGCGUGAACCAGCACGCCACCACGUGCGGAACAGCACGCGCGACAGGCGAGAAACUAAAUAGGUGACACAUUUGUACUAAACAAAUAUUAAAUAAAUAAAAAGUAAUUAAGUUAAUAUUAGCCAUGUUAACGUUUAUUAUAAAAGUGCAAGUUGAACCCUACACAUUCAAUCUAAUUAGAAAGUUAAUCUAAUAGAUAUUAGUCGAGCAAACCUUAAGUUAAUUAUCUAAAAUAUGUGACCCAGCGAAUUAACGUUAUUAACAUGAGUGUUUAUAAGCAAAAACAAUUUAUUAUCACUCGCAGAUGUCGCGCGACACACGCGAACAACACGACGACGGCGAGCGCAACACACGCGAAUAACUCGUAAUCAGCGCGCGCGACACACGAGCACCACUAACAGAUGUCAUGAUUAUACUAAACAAGUAUUAAUUCAAAAUCAUCUGUGUUGACAUUUAUCACAUUAAUUUGUAUUUAUAAAAGCGUAAAUUUAAACUAUAACUUAGUUUUUAUUAGAUCUUCAUUUUAAUAAUCGAAGAUUAAACCAAUAAUUAGUUAACUACAUGAAACAUGUGUUACGAUAAAUUAAUAUUUUUAACGUGUACAUGACAUUAUUGUGAAGCUAACGAAACUGCAACGAAAUAAAUCGGACAUCUAACACAUAUGGUAACUCGUAUUUAAUAACGUCCGGAUUUAAUGCAGUGGCGCAAUAUGACUGGUUAGAGCCAAGCCACACAGAGGCUUACGAAGUCGCGGAUGCAGUAGAUCUAACACGACGGAGUUUCCAAGCAUGCGUAGGAAAAGAAUAAAAAAACGCAACAGAGGCAUGCAAAAAGAAGAUGCAUGCCAUGCGAUGGGGUCGAGGUGGUUUCCACUUUCCAGGAUGCUAAUCGUGCGCACGGCGUGAGGAAUGUGUGGGAGACAUGCAUGCGGGCCCCCCGAGCGGUUAUCAGCUACGAGCCUAUGACGAGCAGCAGGUUUCUCUUCCUCCUUCCAUCGGCUAGGACGAGCACGCAUGCACAAAGGCGAUGGGAAGUGCUGCUCCAGCCGAGGCUAGCGGGCGGGGCGGGUGGCACUGGUCCGGUGGCCAUGGCCGGACAACGCGACGUCUCUAGUCGGACUCUGGCGGGGCUAGACGUUGACGCGACAGCAGCGUCCAUGGCCGGUGGGGCUCGCCGCACAUGGUCAGCGGAGGCAUGGGGCAGCACGUCUACGACGACUCCACGCGCAGGGGCCAGAUGCCUAGGCGCGCUGGCUGUCCGCCGCGUCGCGCCCUGCGCAGGAGCCGCGCAUCGGAGGGAAAGGGAGCCGUGCAGGGGCUCGUCGGGAGGAGACGAAUUGCUCGGUAGGGGGCAGAGAGGGGAGGGAUGAGGUGGGAAGGGAAAGCGGACUCACCACGACGGAGUUCGACGGCGAGUACCAUUCGGCGCGGACAGCGCUCUCGGCGACUCCAACUCUGCGGCGACGAGCGGGAGAGAACCAGGGCGAGAGAAAUUGGCAUGAGAGAAACCGACGGGACAUGGGGAGGAAAUGGGGACGAGAGAAGGUGGAGACUUAGUGUGGCACCGGGCUGACAGGCGGGUCCCACUCGUGGCGGC
rnacentral:lncRNA from 1 species